rnacentral:rRNA from 1 species
GAUGAACGCUGGCGGCGUGCCUAAUACAUGCAAGUCGAGCGAACGGACGAGAAGCUUGCUUCUCUGAUGUUAGCGGCGGACGGGUGAGUAACACGUGGAUAACCUACCUAUAAGACUGGGAUAACUUCGGGAAACCGGAGCUAAUACCGGAUAAUAUUUUGAACCGCAUGGUUCAAAAGUGAAAGACGGUCUUGCUGUCACUUAUAGAUGGAUCCGCGCUGCAUUAGCUAGUUGGUAAGGUGACGGCUUACCAAGGCAACGAUGCAUAGCCGACCUGAGAGGGUGAUCGGCCACACUGGAACUGAGACACGGUCCAGACUCCUACGGGAGGCAGCAGUAGGGAAUCUUCCGCAAUGGGCGAAAGCCUGACGGAGCAACGCCGCGUGAGUGAUGAAGGUCUUCGGAUCGUAAAACUCUGUUAUUAGGGAAGAACAUAUGUGUAAGUAACUGUGCACAUCUUGACGGUACCUAAUCAGAAAGCCACGGCUAACUACGUGCCAGCAGCCGCGGUAAUACGUAGGUGGCAAGCGUUAUCCGGAAUUAUUGGGCGUAAAGCGCGCGUAGGCGGUUUUUUAAGUCUGAUGUGAAAGCCCACGGCUCAACCGUGGAGGGUCAUUGGAAACUGGAAAACUUGAGUGCAGAAGAGGAAAGUGGAAUUCCAUGUGUAGCGGUGAAAUGCGCAGAGAUAUGGAGGAACACCAGUGGCGAAGGCGACUUUCUGGUCUGUAACUGACGCUGAUGUGCGAAAGCGUGGGGAUCAAACAGGAUUAGAUACCCUGGUAGUCCACGCCGUAAACGAUGAGUGCUAAGUGUUAGGGGGUUUCCGCCCCUUAGUGCUGCAGCUAACGCAUUAAGCACUCCGCCUGGGGAGUACGACCGCAAGGUUGAAACUCAAAGGAAUUGACGGGGACCCGCACAAGCGGUGGAGCAUGUGGUUUAAUUCGAAGCAACGCGAAGAACCUUACCAAAUCUUGACAUCCUUUGACAACUCUAGAGAUAGAGCUUUCCCCUUCGGGGGACAAAGUGACAGGUGGUGCAUGGUUGUCGUCAGCUCGUGUCGUGAGAUGUUGGGUUAAGUCCCGCAACGAGCGCAACCCUUAAGCUUAGUUGCCAUCAUUAAGUUGGGCACUCUAAGUUGACUGCCGGUGACAAACCGGAGGAAGGUGGGGAUGACGUCAAAUCAUCAUGCCCCUUAUGAUUUGGGCUACACACGUGCUACAAUGGACAAUACAAAGGGCAGCGAAACCGCGAGGUCAAGCAAAUCCCAUAAAGUUGUUCUCAGUUCGGAUUGUAGUCUGCAACUCGACUACAUGAAGCUGGAAUCGCUAGUAAUCGUAGAUCAGCAUGCUACGGUGAAUACGUUCCCGGGUCU